UCCUACGGGAGGCGAGCAGUGGGGAAUAUUGGCACAAUGGGGGAAACCCUGAUGCAGCCAUGCCGCGUGUGUGAAGAAGGCCUUCGGGUUAGUAAAGCACUUUCAGUAGGGAGGAAGGUAGUGUAGUUAACACCUGCACUAUUUGACGUUACCUACAGAAGAAGCACCGGCUAACUCCGUGCCAGCAGCCGCGGUAAUACGGAGGGUGCGAGCGUUAAUCGGAAUUACUGGGCGUAAAGCGCAUGCAGGCGGCCUGUUAAGUCAGAUGUGAAAGCCCGGGGCUUAACCUCGGAAUUGCAUUUGAAACUGGCAGGCUAGAGUCUUGUAGAGGGGGUAGAAUUUCAGGUGUAGCGGUGAAAUGCGUAGAGAUCUGAAGGAAUACCAGUGGCGAAGGCGGCCCCCUGGACAAAGACUGACGCUCAGAUGCGAAAGCGUGGGGAGCAAACAGGAUUAGAUACCCUGGUAG
rnacentral:rRNA from 1 species